rnacentral:rRNA from 1 species
GACGAACGCUGGCGGCGUGCCUAAUACAUGCAAGUCGAACGCAGUGGGGACGGUUGAGUAACACGUGGGUAACCUCCCAUCAGACGGGAUAACAUUUGGAAACAGGUGCUAAACUGAUACUGAUGGCUGGACCGGGGGUGCAUUCGCUAGUUGGGGAGGGAACGGCUCACCAAGGCAACGAUGCAUAGCUGGACUGAGAGGGUGAUCGGCCACACUGGGACUGAGACACGGCCCAGACUCCUACGGGAGGCAGCAGUAGGGAAUCUUGGGCAAUGGACGAAAGUCUGACGGAGCAACGCCGCGUGAGUGAAGAAGGUUUUCGGGUCGUAAAGCUCUGUUGUUAGAGAAGCGGUAUCUAACCAGAAAGCCACGGCUAACUACGUGCCAGCAGCCGCGGUAAUAC